rnacentral:lncRNA from 1 species
GGCCCUGGGACUGAGAGAGCUCCUGGGCCAUGGGAUGUUCAGUACUUAAAAUCAGCAAAGUCCUUGGCAAGCUGAGAAACCAGAAGACGACUAACGCGUGGGAUGCA